UAUGCACAUCGACGUGACUUUGGCCCAAAUCAUGAAUUCUGAAUUGGUUUACCUGCAUUUUUCUCCACUCUAAGAGAUAUGAAGAAACUUUUAUCAAAACUGUCUACAUACCAUGUUUGCUGAAGGAGCUAUUUCAACAAUAUCUGCCCAAUAAUUUAACAUGUAAUAAAGUACAUGAGUAGAAAUUAUGGAAAUUGAAAUCCAAUGUACAGUUCAAUUCAUGGAUAUCUAAAAUAUCUGUUAAUGAAGUUAUAUUAAAAUUGUGUACAGAUUUGUAUGAUUUUAUGUUUUACAUUCACAAUCAGUCCUAAAUGGACAACAUAAAUAUGCAGUUUGUGUUGCAAGAAGUUUAUAAGUUAUCAUCUUCCCUUAUUUUAUCAUGAAUACAAUUAAUAUAUUUUUCUGUUAUCAUUAUUCUUCCUAAUGAAGUUUGAUUAUGAGUUUACCUGGGCUUAGACAGUACCCACAGCCUGUCUUAUGCAACAA